AAUGAACGCUGGCGGCGUGCUUAACACAUGCAAGUCGCACGAGAACGUUUCAGCUUGCUGAGACUAGUACAGUGGCGCACGGGUGAGUAACGCGUGGGUAAUCUACCUCCGAAUUGGGGAUAACAUUGCGAAAGCGGUGCUAAUACCGAAUAAUAUCCCCGGGACCCCGGUCUUGGUGAUCAAAGGUGGCCUCUACAUGUAAGCUACCGUUUGGAGAUGAGCCCACGUACCAUUAGCUAGUUGGUAGGGUAAUGGCCUACCAAGGCUUCGAUGGUUAGCUGGGCGGGGAGGAUGUACGGCCACACUGGAACUGACACACGGGCCAGACUCCUAAGGGAGGCAGGAGUGAGGAAUUUUGCGAAAUGGGGGAAACCCUGACGCAGCAACGCCGCGUGAGUGAUGAAGGCCUUCGGGUCGUAAAGCUCUGUCAAGUGGGAAGAACCUGCUUUGUGAUAAUACCACGAGGCACUGACGGUACCACUGAAGGAAGCACCGGCUAACUCCGUGCCAGCCGCCGCGGUAAUAC
rnacentral:rRNA from 1 species